GUCAGCUGCAAAGCCCGGAGCGGGAUCGCGGCGGGGGGCGGCGCGGGGUCGCGCCCGGAGGAGAUCCGCCGAGGCGGCCCCGCAGGGCUGCCGCCCUCCGGGUGUCCCGAAUCGCGCCCCUGGCUACCGGAACACCGGAGGGAAAAUAAUAAUAGUUAAAAAAAACCCCAAAACAAACAAACCCAACACCACAAUAAAAUGCAUGAAUAAAGAACCGCUAGAAAACUCCGCAGGACCCCCUCUCCCAUCCGCCGGCCCGGCCCCUGCCUGUCCCCCUGCCCGGUGUGGCGGGGGGCGCCGGGGAGGGCCGGGCCGCGCUGGCCGCUCGCCCGCGUCGCUCCCUGUGCCUGUGCGGGGACCUAAUAAAGCUAUUUUGAAAGUGACCCCUCGGGCAGAGCGCGGGGAGGGAGCAGCGAGCCGGGCGCAGCUGUCCGGAAUCAUGACUGAAGAUGACGGAUUCCGUGGUGGUGGAGGGUCACGUCAAGUUGAGAGAUGGAAAAAAGUGGAAGAAUAGGUGGCUGGUGCUGCGCAAGCCCUCCCCGGUGGCAGUUUUGCUUCUUUUAGACUGUUUGCUCAUGCUGGUGUACAAGGAUAAAUCUGAACGUGCAAAAGGGCAUAAGGAGAGGAGCAGCAUGACCUUAGAAGACAUCUGUGGCUUGGAUCCUGGGCUGUCCUACGAGGGCUUGAAUCACACGCUUGCAAUCAUCUGUCUCUCUCAAGUUGUGAUGCUGGGGUUCGAGAACAAGGAAACAAUGUGUGCGUGGGAUGUACGAAUCCGCUACAGUUUGGGGGAAGUUCAUAGAUUUCAAGUUUUUGUAGCACCUGGCACUAAACUAGAGAGUGGGCCUGCUACCCUGCAUUUCUGCAAUGACAUUCUCGUCCUUGUAAAAGACCUUCCUCCUAGUGUCAUGGGGCAAUGGAAGCUCUCGGAUCUGCGUCGGUAUGGAGCUGUCCCAAAUGGAUUCAUCUUUGAAGGAGGUACCAGGUGCGGCUUCUGGGCUGGCGUUUUUUUCCUUUCUUGUGCCGAAGGAGAGCAGAUCAGCUUUCUGUUCGACUGUAUCGUCCGUGGCAUCUCCCCGACGAAGGGCCCUUUUGGUUUGCGUCCAGUUCUACCAGAUCCAAGUACAAAUCCAGCCUAUUCAGAAGAAAGAUUGGCUCAUGAAGCUUUGCAAUUAGAAAAGCGCUUGAGCUUGCUGUCCCAUACAAGUCGCCAGGGCAGUGGAGGAGACGAUAGAAGUCUUUCAAGCUCAUCGUCAGAUACCAGCCACUCGGAUGUUAGCGUUGGGAGCAGAUUGACAAUUUGGCCCGAACAGUCUUCAGCCAGCACUUCUCAAGAGAGUCACGGACUGGCAGCUGCCAAGGGCAUUCAUCUUGGGGAAGAAAAGUCCCUUCCAGAAGGGGCACGUGGCACCACUAAGCUGCCUCCAAAGCCCCUCCGAUCCAGACAGCUCCAGGAAAUAGGUCGUCAGAGUUCUUCUGACAGUGGAAUAGCUACUGGUAGUCACUCUUCCUACUCUGGAAGCUUCUCUUCCUAUGCUGGGAGCUUGGAUAUUUGCCAUGGGGAUGAGUUUGGAUCCUUGCUAAGCUUGCCACUGAACUUUCCUUCGGAUCAGAAUUUAUGUACUUGUCCUCACAGUGAGCCCCAGAGAGGUGCGGGAUCAGAGUAUCAGGUUCCCAGCUCUCUCAGACAUAUUUACGACAUACCCAGGAGUUUGUUACAGGCAGCUUCUAAAGAUGUGCAACUGAAGAGCACGGAUUCCACACUACCCAAGGACCAGGGCCCGUCACCUCAAGGUACUAGUGACCCAAAACUGCUACGACCACAUUUGGAAGCACGGAGGGUACCUGGGCACAGCCAGGACAGAGAAAGACCUUCAUCCUUACUCACAGAAAGCAGCAAGGACUCAAGUGAUGAGACAUAUGUGGAUUUUGUCUCGAGGUGGUCAGACACAAAACCACAAGGAGAGGUGUCACACUCCAAAAGUAGUGAGUUGUCACCACCUAGUGGGGCCUCAGCUGAGCCCUAUGAGACAUGUAGCCCCCACCUUGGGAUGACAAGAGCUCUUUUUUCGGCUUGUCCAAUCUGUGGUGGACUAAAGGGAACAGCACUAUUACAGUCUGGAGUCUUACCAGCUCUACCAGCAGGUGGUGCUUCUGUCAUGGCAGCUUCUGGGUCUUUGAAAGUACACAGAGGGCACAGUCUCCAAGCUGGUCCUAAAGGUGGUUAUGAGAUGCUGACACUUCCUGCAGAAUCUGGAACUCCUACCAACCCUGAGGAACCUGUUCUCAGGAAAGUCACUUGGCUUGUCUGCAUCAGAAGGAGCAGUAGGUUAUUCAGGUGAUGUUCCUGCAUCAGAUCGACCCCACAGCGAGACAGCCACCUAUGUGAAUAUUCCUGUUAGCCCUACUUCCAAAAAACAACUUCAUUACAUGGAACUGGAACUUCAAGAACCUAGCACAAGCAUAAGAGGGAGUGGAUCAUCCCGAUAUGCACAGAUUGACAUUGCAGCCACCGAGACAGCCCACAAAGUGGGGACGCAGCACGCCCAGUGCCGGGAGGAACGCCUGCAGGAGCUCGAGCAGAAGAAGAAAGGGGCUCAGCAGUGACCUGUUUAGGAAAGAACUCUUUGCUCACCAUAAACUGGUACUAAUUUAUCUUCCAAAAUAUUUGCGUUUAUUUUCAAAAUACUCAUGCAAGAAGCUGCCAUUACUUAUUGCACCUAUGCCAGAUUCAUUCCAAUAUCUUGAUUCCUGAUUGGAAAGCUGGUAGCAUGAGGGGUGUGUGUGGUCUUUCUAUUUUAAUUUGGUUGUAAAGUUCUGAUUUUUUCUUUUUUUCCAUAUGCAAUGACAGAUGUAAGUUACCUUUUUCCAUAAUUCUAAAAUCCUGGAGAAACUGGAACUAAUUCCAGUGUUUAUUAAAUGGUGGCAUUUUCUUUAAAAAUGAAGAACUAGAAUGUGUGCGGAUAAGGGAAUGCGAGUGUGUGCAUUGUAAGAGUACACAUAUGUUCGCAUUUGUGCAUAUGUAUGUAAGCACACAUUACUGAUAAAAUAUAUGUAUAUAUCUGAGUGUAUAAAAUAUGUAAAGCCUCUAUUAAUAUAUUAAUGGACUCUUACAAAAGCAAGAACAUUCAUGCCUGAUUUUUUUGCAGGCACAAUUUUUUUCAAUUUAUAUGCUUAUUUAUGGACAUGCUUAACUUUACCUAUGGGUAAUUCAGUUUUAUAACUCACCAAGAGUUCUUUAGCUUUGGCUGAAGUUGCUCAGAUUUAAAGCUGCAGUGUCAGGGAUGCAUAGGUGUGUGCAUACAGACAAGAGCACACACAAACAAGUUACUUUAUUUAAUUAUGUCUAUAAACCAAAGUAAUGUGAAGGGACAUUUUGGGUGCUUCUGUUCUUAGAAACCCUGUGUCGAACCAUAGCUCAUUUCAUAGUUGCUGAGUACCUGUAAUUAUUAGCAAUUUUCCUGGAGUUGAACAUGUGUAUCACUUGGCAAAUCAGGUGUCAGGUUUCUCAUACAGAAUAUCUUAAAAUCAAGGUAUUCUAAAGAAACAUUCAGUUUUGAAAAUUGAGUCCUUUAUUUACAUCUUAAAAACUAUUCCCGAUGUAAACCAUCAUCAAAAGCAGAUCAUCUACCUUGAAUGUAAAUAGUUCAUUGAAUAAAUCUCUGCUGUCACUAAAUAGCAUAAAAUCAGUUCUGUGUAAAAGGAUGAUGUUUUCAGAGAUGCUACAGAAUUGAGGCACAACAGAUGUUCUAUUGUAAUAUAGGUUUAUCCAAAAGUCUUCGACUUCUUGCUUUUGUACAGUGAGAUUGUACAAUUUAAAACUUGACAUAGUUUCUGUUGCAUUGUCUAUGUAAUUCUUGUGUUCUGUGUAUUUGUCCCGAUACAAAAUGUUAUUUAAAUAAAAUGUUACUGCAGUAACAAAGCAGUGUACUUACGAAGAAAACAAAAUCUUAGCCUGCAAUAACACAUCAGCUUUGGCUCCCAGAAGGUAUCAGGAGUGAAAUCUUGGGUAUUAUGAUUUUUGACUGUGUCCUCUUAAGACAAAAUAUCACAGCCCAGUUCUGUUUUUCAGGUUUGCGUUGUAAUUCAUAUUGGUGAGUGGAAGUUUUGUGCCAGUGAGGGGGUUUCACUAAGUGACUCAGAAGGAGAGGUGGGUGUUUGUUUCUGAGGCAAAAUUUGACUUAUAAAUUUACUUGAAUGUAGCCUCAGCAAUAAUGUAAAAUAUCAGAAAUCUCUCAAAUAAAUAAAAAUGUGUCUGAGAGUUGACAA